UGGUAUUGAUUGGUGCUUGCAUCAUGAUUUACAUUUGAGUGAGUGGCGAACUGGUGAGUAACACGUGGGAAACCUGCCCAGAAGCGGGGGAUAACACCUGGAAACAGAUGCUAAUACCGCAUAACAACUUGGACCGCAUGGUCCGAGUUUGAAAGAUGGCUUCGGCUAUCACUUUUGGAUGGUCCCGCGGCGUAUUAGCUAGAUGGUGGGGUAACGGCUCACCAUGGCAAUGAUACGUAGCCGACCUGAGAGGGUAAUCGGCCACAUUGGGACUGAGACACGGCCCAAACUCCUACGGGAGGCAGCAGUAGGGAAUCUUCCACAAUGGACGAAAGUCUGAUGGAGCAACGCCGCGUGAGUGAAGAAGGGUUUCGGCUCGUAAAACUCUGUUGUUAAAGAAGAACAUAUCUGAGAGUAACUGUUCAGGUAUUGACGGUAUUUAACCAGAAAGCCACGGCUAACUACGUGCCAGCAGCCGCGGUAAUACGUAGGUGGCAAGCGUUGUCCGGAUUUAUUGGGCGUAAAGCGAGCGCAGGCGGUUUUUUAAGUCUGAUGUGAAAGCCUUCGGCUCAACCGAAGAAGUGCAUCGGAAACUGGGAAACUUGAGUGCAGAAGAGGACAGUGGAACUCCAUGUGUAGCGGUGAAAUGCGUAGAUAUAUGGAAGAACACCAGUGGCGAAGGCGGCUGUCUGGUCUGUAACUGACGCUGA
rnacentral:rRNA from 2 species